ensembl:lncRNA
CAUGCUCUCAUACUUUAUUCCUGUGAUCAGACUGCAGGAGGCAAAUGAGAGCCAAGAGGGUUGUGGCACUUGUGGUUUAUUUUAGAGGUGGUUUAUUCUCUGAAAAGAGAAAAAAAAAAAAAAAAAGAAAGAAACAGAAGAAAAAAAAAGAAAGAAAGAAAGAAACAUUCUGAAAUUUUCACAUGGAAUAGAGAUCUCGUCUGCGUCCUGCUGAGUUGCUUUAAAGAUGGAUUACCAUUUUGCAAAACCUCUCUGAACAAGAGAUGUAUUAUUCCCAUUUUGGAUGAGAGAAGUCAACGUGGGAUUGCUUCCCUGAGUUACCUGGAAAGUGUGACGCUGAAAGAGUAUUUCACCUCAAAGCUCCUGCAGCCCUUUCCACAGGAACAUUUCUUCUACCUAAGCAUUAAUUGUUUUCCUAAUCCCACUCUCCCUCCUAAUCCCAUUCUCCCCCAAAGGAGAAUAGCUAAAUGUAAAAGAAAGCAAGGUAAAACAGUUACAGGUGUCUAGAACGGCUCAGUACUUGUGCUGUAUUUGCCUGUAUAGUGCUCCUUCUGUCUUGCCCAUUUAGGCAAACAUUGUCUCUUUGUAUGCUCCCACACUUUGUGUUUAAUGAUACUGCCCUUAUGUCUUCUACCUCUGAUACAAGAUCCUGAAAAAAAAAAAAAAAAAAAAGUAUUUUUCAACUUGAAUGGAAUUCUUUUGUCCAGUCUAAAGUUGCGCUUCACUCCUCAGUGUUCCUUGCCUGCCAAAGGAAAAUUAAAAAAAUAAAUAAAAAAGAAAUUUAAAAGUAUGUUUUCAUUUGCAAACAUUUAAGACUAAUGUAAGGCUACUCACUUUGGAAAAAAACAAAACCAUUUGCAGGGUAUGGUGCGCGUGUGUUGGGGAGGGGAGAUAGGGAGAUAUUCAUGUUUCAGAAUUUUCUAAAUCUACUUUUUUUUGAAA